CCUACGGGAGGCAGCAGUGGGGAAUAUUGCGCAAUGGGGGAAACCCUGACGCAGCAACGCCGCGUGCAGGAAGAAGGUCUUCGGAUUGUAAAACGUUGUCGCAGGGGAAGAAGACAGUGACGGUACCCUGUGAGAAAGUCACGGCUAACUACGAGCCAGCAGCCGCGGUAAUACGUAGGUGACAAGCGUUGUCCGGAUUUACUGGGUGUAAAGGGCGCGUAGGCGGGAUAGCAAGUCAGUCGUGAAAUGCCGAGGCUUAACCUCGGAGCUGCGAUUGAGACUGGUAUUCUUGAGUAUCGGAGAGGAAAGCGGAAUUCCUAGUGUAGCGGUGAAAUGCGUAGAUAUUAGGAGGAACACCGAUUGCGAAGGCAGCUUACCAAACUACGACUGACGUUGAGGCACGAAAGCGUGGGGAGCAAACAGGAUUAGAUACCCGAGUAGUC
rnacentral:rRNA from 1 species